rnacentral:rRNA from 1 species
GAAUGCUGACAUAAGUAACGAUAAAGCGGGUGAAAAGCCCGCUCGCCGGAAGACCAAGGGUUCCUGUCCAACGUUAAUCGGGGCAGGGUGAGUCGACCCCUAAGGCGAGGCCGAAAGGCGUAGUCGAUGGGAAACGGGUUAAUAUUCCCGUACUUGGUGUUACUGCGAAGGGGGGACGGAGAAGGCUAUGUUGGCCGGGCGACGGUUGUCCCGGUUUAAGCGUGUAGGUGUGUGUUCCAGGUAAAUCCGGUUCACUUUAACACUGAGGCGUGACGACGAGGCACUACGGUGCUGAAGCAACAAAUGCCCUGCUUCCAGGAAAAGCCUCUAAGCAUCAGGUAACACGAAAUCGUACCCCAAACCGACACAGGUGGUCAGGUAGAGAAUACCAAGGCGCUUGAGAGAACUCGGGUGAAGGAACUAGGCAAAAUGGUGCCGUAA